CUCCUACGGGAGGCAGCAGUGAGGAAUAUUGGUCAAUGGCCGAGAGGCUGAACCAGCCAAGUCGCGUGAGGGAUGAAGGUUCUAUGGAUCGUAAACCUCUUUUAUAAGGGAAUAAAGUGCGGGAUGUGUCCCGUUUUGUAUGUACCUUAUGAAUAAGGAUCGGCUAACUCCGUGCCAGCAGCCGCGGUAAUACGGAGGAUCCGAGCGUUAUCCGGAUUUAUUGGGUUUAAAGGGUGCGUAGGCGGCCUUUUAAGUCAGCGGUGAAAGUCUGUGGCUCAACCAUAGAAUUGCCGUUGAAACUGGGGGGCUUGAGUAUGUUUGAGGCAGGCGGAAUGCGUGGUGUAGCGGUGAAAUGCAUAGAUAUCACGCAGAACCCCGAUUGCGAAGGCAGCCUGCCAAGCCAUUACUGACGCUGAUGCACGAAAGCGUGGGGAUCAAACAGGAUUAGAUACCCUGGUAGUCCACGCAGUAAACGAUGAUCACUAGCUGUUUGCGAUACACUGUAAGCGGCACAGCGAAAGCGUUAAGUGAUCCACCUGGGGAGUACGCCGGCAACGGUGAAACUCAAAGGAAUUGACGGGGGCCCGCACAAGCGGAGGAACAUGUGGUUUAAUUCGAUGAUACGCGAGGAACCUUACCCGGGUUUGAACGCAUUCGGACCGAGGUGGAAACACCUUUUCUAGCAAUAGCCGUUUGCGAGGUGCUGCAUGGUUGUCGUCAGCUCGUGCCGUGAGGUGUCGGCUUAAGUGCCAUAACGAGCGCAACCCUUGCCACUAGUUACUAACAGGUAAAGCUGAGGACUCUGGUGGGACUGCCAGCGUAAGCUGCGAGGAAGGCGGGGAUGACGUCAAAUCAGCGCGGCCCUUACAUCCGGGGCGACACACGUGUUACAAUGGCGUGGACAAAGGGAGGCCACCUGGCGACAGGGAGCGAAUCCCCAAACCACGUCUCAGUUCGGAUCGGAGUCUGCAACCCGACUCCGUGAAGCUGGAUUCGCUAGUAAUCGCGCAUCAGCCAUGGCGCGGUGAAUACGUUCCCGGGCCUUGUACACACCGC
rnacentral:rRNA from 1 species